rnacentral:rRNA from 1 species
CCUACGGGUGGCAGCAGUCGAGAAUCAUUCACAAUGGGGGAAACCCUGAUGGUGCGACGCCGCGUGGGGGAAUGAAGGUCUUCGGAUUGUAAACCCCUGUCAUGUGGGAGCAAAUUAAAAAGAUAGUACCACAAGAGGAAGAGACGGCUAACUCCGUGCCAGCAGCCGCGGUAAUACGGAGGAUGCGAGCGUUAUCCGGAUUUAUUGGGUUUAAAGGGUGCGUAGGCGGGCUGUUAAGUCAGCGGUAAAAGCCCGGGGCUCAACCCCGGCGAGCCGUUGAAACUGGCUGUCUUGAGAUGUCGAGAGGUAUGCGGAAUGCGCAGUGUAGCGGUGAAAUGCUUAGAUAUUGCGCAGAACUCCGAUUGCGAAGGCAGCAUACCGGCGGCGAUCUGACGCUGAGGCACGAAAGCGUGGGUAUCGAACAGGAUUAGAUACCCUUGUAGUC